UAAUACGUAGGGUGCGAGCGUUAAUCGGAAUUACUGGGCGUAAAGCGUGCGCAGGCGGUUUGGUAAGUCAGAUGUGAAAUCCCCGGGCUCAACCUGGGAACUGCAUUUGAGACUGCCAAGCUGGAGUUUGGCAGAGGGGGGUGGAAUUCCACGUGUAGCAGUGAAAUGCGUAGAGAUGUGGAGGAACACCGAUGGCGAAGGCAGCCCCCUGGGCCAAUACUGACGCUCAUGCACGAAAGCGUGGGGAGCAAACAGG
rnacentral:rRNA from 1 species